rnacentral:rRNA from 1 species
UGCUUAACACAUGCAAGUCGAACGGAAAGGCCCUGCUUUUGUGGGGUGCUCGAGUGGCGAACGGGUGAGUAACACGUGAGUAACCUGCCCUUGACUUUGGGAUAACUUCAGGAAACUGGGGCUAAUACCGGAUAGGAGCUCCUGCUGCAUGGUGGGGGUUGGAAAGUUUCGGCGGUUGGGGAUGGACUCGCGGCUUAUCAGCUUGUUGGUGGGGUAGUGGCUUACCAAGGCUUUGACGGGUAGCCGGCCUGAGAGGGUGACCGGCCACAUUGGGACUGAGAUACGGCCCAGACUCCUACGGGAGGCAGCAGUGGGGAAUAUUGCACAAUGGGCGGAAGCCUGAUGCAGCAACGCCGCGUGCGGGAUGACGGCCUUCGGGUUGUAAACCGCUUUCGCCUGUGACGAAGCGUGAGUGACGGUAAUGGGUAAAGAAGCACCGGCUAACUACGUGCCAGCAGCCGCGGUGAUACGUAGGGUGCGAGCGUUGUCCGGAUUUAUUGGGCGUAAAGGGCUCGUAGGUGGUUGAUCGCGUCGGAAGUGUAAUCUUGGGGCUUAACCCUGAGCGUGCUUUCGAUACGGGUUGACUUGAGGAAGGUAGGGGAGAAUGGAAUUCCUGGUGGAGCGGUGGAAUGCGCAGAUAUCAGGAGGAACACCAGUGGCGAAGGCGGUUCUCUGGGCCUUUCCUGACGCUGAGGAGCGAAAGCGUGGGGAGCGAACAGGCUUAGAUACCCUGGUAGUCCACGCUGUAAACGGUGGGUACUAGGUGUGGGGUCCAUUCCACGGGUUCCGUGCCGUAGCUAACGCUUUAAGUACCCCGCCUGGGGAGUACGGCCGCAAGGCUAAAACUCAAAGGAAUUGACGGGGCCCCGCACAAGCGGCGGAGCAUGCGGAUUAAUUCGAUGCAACGCGUAGAACCUUACCUGGGUUUGACAUGGAUCGGGAGUGCUCAGAGAUGGGUGUGCCUCUUUUGGGGUCGGUUCACAGGUGGUGCAUGGCUGUCGUCAGCUCGUGUCGUGAGAUGUUGGGUUAAGUCCCGCAACGAGCGCAACCCUUGUUCACUGUUGCCAGCACGUUAUGGUGGGGACUCAGUGGAGACCGCCGGGGUCAACUCGGAGGAAGGUGGGGAUGACGUCAAGUCAUCAUGCCCCUUAUGUCCAGGGCUUCACGCAUGCUACAAUGGCUGGUACAGAGAGUGGCGAGCCUGUGAGGGUGAGCGAAUCUCGGAAAGCCGGUCUCAGUUCGGAUUGGGGUCUGCAACUCGACCUCAUGAAGUCGGAGUCGCUAGUAAUCGCAGAUCAGCAACGCUGCGGUGAAUACGUUCCCGGGGCUUGUACACACCGCCCGUCAAGUCAUGAAAGUUGGUAACACCCGAAGCCGGUGGCCUAACCGUUGUGGGGGAGCCGUCGAAGGUGGGACUGGUGAUUAGGACUAAGUCAUA